UGGGGUGGCCCUGCUCCUCGGUGGCCCGCCUGGCCCCGCUGUGGGCUUCCCUCCCACCACCCCGGCCACAGUCACAGCGGGUUGUGUCAGGCCGCCCUCAUCUCCCACCUCCCAGGCCCAGCUGGCGCCUCCAGCCCUGGUGUGAAUUUCCAUUCAGGGUCCAAAAUCCACCUUGGCAGCGCCCUCAUUCUGCAGCUCCACGGAGCCCUCCAGCCAGAGAAGAGAAAUCUGAGUUUAACCCGAUCCUGUCAGAAGAGCGGGAGGAAAGAGCUCCGGCGGACAGGGCUCCCAGGCCCCUCCAGGACGAGGUUGGAGGACCAAGCGCAGAAGGCCUCGCCGGCCGGCUAAGCAGAAGCGGCUUUUGGCUUUCCGCGACAAAGCGCAGCUCCGGGCCAGACGGUCCUGCCCGGCCCUACCCGCAGCCCCGGCCCCAACCAGAGGCCCCACUUCAGCCCACCAGGCAGGACUGCAGCGGGGCACGCCCCACGGACCCCAGCCCCUUGGAGAUCCCAAACCCCAUGCCUGCUGCUCCCACCCCGGAGGAGUCAGAGGCCGAGAAGCACACACACCAUAGACCCCACACCACGCACACCAUAGACACACAUACCACACACCACACACCAUACCACACACAACACACACCACAGACACACACACCAUACACCAUAGACACACAUACCACACACACCAUAGACACACACACUACACAUCAUAGACACACACACCACACACACCAUAGACACACACACCACACACCAUAGACACACACCACACGCACCAUAGACAAACCACGCACACCAUGCACACACCACACACCAUAUACACACACACCACACACGACACACCAUAGGCACACACACCACACACCACACACCAUAGACACACACACCACACACCAUAAGCACACACACCACACACACCAUAGACAUACACACCAUAGACACACAGACACACAUGCCAUAGACACACAUGCCACACACGACACACCAUAGUCACACCACACAUACACCAGACACCAAGACACACACACUACAUACACACCAUAGACACACAUACCUACCACACACUACAAACCAUAGGCACAUACACCAUAGACACACGCACUACAUACACACCGUAGACACACACCACAGAUACAUACAUCACACACCACAUACCAUAGGCACACUGCAUAAACAUCACACACACACCACACACCAUAGACACACACACCACACACACCAUAGACACACCACACACACAACCCCGUAGGCACACACCACACUCUACACACACACCAUAGACACACACACACACCACAGAUGCACACAUACCAUGACACAACCAGGCACACACACUAUGACACACACACACACACCAGGACACACACACCAUAGACACACACAUACCAUGACACACACGCACCCCAUGACACACACCACACACAGCCACCCUCUGCUCUACCAGCUUUGCCUCUGUUCUCCGACAGCGCCAGUGUUGACACGCCAGAGGCUGCCUGGGCCCCACUCCUUCCAGGAACAGAGGUACAGAGAAUGGCGUCCAGGCCUCCUUAAGGACUCUCAAUCCAUGAGACAGGAAGCCCCACAGGGAAGCAGUGGCCCCCCGCCCCCUAUCUCCUCACAUACAGCACUCUGUACCUUCUGCUCAUUUUUCUGUAAACCUAAAACUGCUCUAAACAAUGAAGUCCGCCACGCAGAAACUGCACACGGAUGUUGAGAGCAGCUUUACUCAUAACUGCCAACACUCAGAAGCAACCGAGAUGUUCUCCAACAGCUGAAUAAAUAAAUAAACUGUGAUACACCUA
rnacentral:lncRNA from 1 species